GGUGACACCCCGUCUGUGGUGGAACCGGACGCUGACGAUUAGCUUUCGAAGAGUCGGGUUGUUUGGGAAUGCAGCCCAAAAUGGGUGGUAAACUCCAUCUAAAGCUAAAUAUGGACACGAGACCGAUAGCGAACAAAUACCGUGAGGGAAAGAUGAAAAGCACUUUGAAAAGAGAGUUAAAAAGUACGUGAAACCGUUAAAAGGGAAACGAAUGGGGUUAGCAAUGUGCUCUGCGAGAUUCAGCCGGUAGGAGGGCUGGGCGUGCGGUUUGCGGAUCUGAAUGGACCGCGACCGUUCGGUUUGGACCUUCGACCGUCGCACUUCUUGCGAGUGCGCGUCAGUGUCGGUUGGGACUGGGUCUCAAGGGCGCCGGGAAGGUAGGUCUGUCCCUUCUGGGACCAACUGUUAUAGACCGGCGUUAUCAUGGCUCGGACCUGGCCGAGGUGYCGCGGCGCGUGCCUCUUUUGGCUUGGGUCCCGUCGAUCCGGUCGUUUGUUGACUGUGGUGGACUGCGUGCAGUGCGCCGCGACUGCUGACGGUCGCUUUGGCGGUGACGUCAUACCACGUGCCCAGGACGCUGGCGGUCACAUGGCCUCAUGCGAC
rnacentral:rRNA from 1 species